GUGAGGAAUAUUGCGCAAUGGAGGCAACUCUGACGCAGCCAUGCCGCGUGCAGGAAGAAGGCGCUACGCGUUGUAAACUGCUUUUAACCGGGAAGAAACCCCAGGACGUGUCCUGGGUUGACGGUACCGGAGGAAUAAGCACCGGCUAACUUCGUGCCAGCAGCCGCGGUAAUACGAAGGGUGCAAGCGUUAUCCGGAUUCAUUGGGUUUAAAGGGUGCGUAGGCGGAGCGUUAAGUCAGUGGUGAAAUCCUGCAGCUUAACUGUAGACUUGCCAUUGAUACUGGCGCUCUUGAGUGCGCUUGAAGUGGGCGGAAUGUGCCGUGUAGCGGUGAAAUGCUUAGAUAUUACAUGGAAUACCAAUUGCGAAGGCAGGUUACUACUUGUGGAUUGACGCUGAUGGACGAAAGCGUGGGGAGCGAACAGGAUUAGAUACCCGAGUAGUCC
rnacentral:rRNA from 1 species